AUAUUUUCCAAUGGCGACUUUAAGGGUAGGUGAUUUGGUUCUACCAAGCUUUCCACCCUUUGUCAAAGACGCCCGCAAACACAUUAGUGACAUCGAGAACUUUCCUACAAGAAAAGAUGACAUUUUAUUAUUUAAUUAUCCCAAAUCUGGGAACCAUUGGUUAAACGAGAUCAUACCCCGACUUCUACACAACAAACUGGAUUCAGACCACUUGCUGGUAAAGACCUUUCUGGACUAUGUGGAAGAUCUAGAAAGCAUUAACUCGAUUCCCUCCCCAAGAGUUAUAACGUCACACCUUCCUCCUCGACAUCUUCCAAAGGAUCACAUAAAAAAUGGUGGGAAAAUUGUCCAUAUUAUUAGGAACCCCAAGGACGUGGCACUUGCGGCUUUCCACCACUAUAAACAGGAUCCUUUCGCGUCUGAGGUCCUUGGCGUCUCUAAAGAUCUAUCUGCAUUCCUGGACUUGUUUCUGAAAGGAGGUACGUGUACUACACCAGCAACUACUAAGAUAACAUUCAGUGUAGCUGCAUAUGGAAAUUAAAAAUUGCGACAUAAAGUUGUACGACUGCUAACAACUAAUUAUAGUAUGACAGUUAAAACUUCAAAGGGGCGUUGGUUCAAUGUACCGUAAACAGUUUUUUCUAACUGAUUUUUUUCCAUAUGUGGAUUAGUUUUAAUCAUUAAUUAACUGUUCCUAGCAUUGGUUUAAUUUUAAAUUUAAAAUGUAAUAAAAACAUGACAUGCAUGAGCUGUGUUUACAUAACAAAACAUAAUGGGCUAUGUAUCUCACUUAUAACUCGACUGACCUCAAAUUUUAUGAAAAUGCCUUACUCAUUUUAUAAACAUUAAAGACGGAAAAAUAAUUCUAUCUAAUCAAAAGUAAAAGUAUGAAAAAAAUUGAUUUGACGUUUUUGGUAUAUUACUGUUAUCACCUGUACAUGUAUCAUAAACUUGAGGUGAAUUAAUUAUUUCAUUAAAAGCUUUGAUAACACUUUUCAUGAUAAAUGGGUUAAUAACAGUGCAUCUAGAUCUAGUAUUUCAUUGUUAAAAUGUUAUAAACAUGAUAUAUGUAUAUUUCAGCGUGGAGGGAUAUUUGAUAACAAACUUGUUUCCUCAACUAUCAACGGUGUUCGUCUACAUUUAUAAGACUAGUGCAAUGUAAGAAAAAUAUCCGGUAUUUUAUUUCAUUUCAUUUUCUUUUAUACAUGUGCGUAAACAGAGACUCUCUAUGGCAGCUGGUUUGAUCGAGAAAGAGAGUGGGAAGAAGCAGCAAAGAAAAAUCCAGAUAACUUGCUUGUUAUAUACUACGAGGACCUGAAACAGGUACAUCCUAGCAUUAACCCUAGCCCUGCUCAUCCUAACCGUAGCACUAAUCCUAGCUCUGCUACAUAUACCCCUAUACUUGGCCCUAACCCUAACCCUAGCACUGCUAGCCCUCAACAUAACGUUGGCUACAGCUACUGAUAGGGUUAGAGGUGGUUUGGAUUAGGUCGUUGUUGGCUUUAGAAUAGGAUAACAAUUUACUUAUAUAUAGACUUAAUAUGAGAAAUAGUAGGCUUAUACAGGCAUACUAUCUCUAGGUUAGACAAGAUUUACUAAAUGUAUAGGCUUGUAGAGGCUUAGAAAGAUAUUGCCGAGUGCAUGCUGCUUGUACAUACAUGUAGGAUUUUAGAGAUUAAACUUGCGCAAAAAGCAUUUAACGUUGAUAAAGAUAAUGCUUAUGUUUCGAAAAGAUAAUAAAAGAAACUUAUGUGCCGGUUUAUCACGAAUUUUUUAAAUUAUACAGUAUGUAGAUAUUCAAUAAGACGAAAUGUGUACUGUCUUGAUUAAGAUCCGUAUUCCGGUAUUCUAGACAUUUGUGAAAUGAUGUAAAAUGAUUUGAAAUUAUAGAAUGGAAUGGAGAGCAUGAAGAAAUUUGCCACUUUCCUAGGAACAAGUAGUGACCCCGACUUUCUACAAUCUGUUUAUGAUACAUGCACUAUCGAAGAGGUUAAAAAGAGAAAAACUACUCCCUUUGACAAUAUUUUACUCAGAAAAGGUAAUCUAGAACUGAUAAGAGUUUAUUGAAUUUAUUUUAAAUGAUCGGUUAAAUUUUGGUACAAACAAUGUACAAUCAUUGACAAUAUCUUCCAG
rnacentral:misc_RNA from 1 species